AGCGUAGACGGUGUGGCAAGUCUGAUGUGAAAGGCAUGGGCUCAACCUGUGGACUGCAUUGGAAACUGUCAUACUUGAGUGCCGGAGGGGUAAGCGGAAUUCCUAGUGUAGCGGUGAAAUGCGUAGAUAUUAGGAGGAACACCAGUGGCGAAGGCGGCUUACUGGACGGUAACCGACGUUGAGGCUCGAAAGCGUGGGGAGCAAACA
rnacentral:rRNA from 1 species